GUCUACAGCUGCACCACCCUGAAUGUGCCCGAUAUCAUGUGAUCUCAGAAGCUAAGCAGGGUUGGGCCUGGUUAGUACUUGGAUGGGAGACUACCUAGGAAUACCAGGAACUGUAGGUG
ensembl:rRNA 5S_rRNA 5S ribosomal RNA